rnacentral:rRNA from 1 species
ACAGGGUGACAGCCCCGUACACAAAAAUGCACAUAUUGUGAGCUUGAUGAGUAGGGCGGGACACGUGGUAUCCUGUCUGAAUAUGGGGGGACCAUCCUCCAAGGCUAAAUACUCCUGACUGACCGAUAGUGAACCAGUACCGUGAGGGAAAGGCGAAAAGAACCCCGGCGAGGGGAGUGAAAAAGAACCUGAAACCGUGUACGUACAAGCAGUGGGAGCACGCUUAGGCGUGUGACUGCGUACCUUUUGUAUAAUGGGUCAGCGACUUAUAUUCUGUAGCAAGGUUAACCGAAUAGGGGAGCCGAAGGGAAACCGAGUCUUAACUGGGCGUUAAGUUGCAGGGUAUAGACCCGAAACCCGGUGAUCUAGCCAUGGGCAGGUUGAAGGUUGGGUAACACUAACUGGAGGACCGAACCGACUAAUGUUGAAAAAUUAGCGGAUGACUUGUGGCUGGGGGUGAAAGGCCAAUCAAACCGGGAGAUAGCUGGUUCUCCCCGAAAGCUAUUUAGGUAGCGCCUCGUGAAUUCAUCUCCGGGGGUAGAGCACUGUUUCGGCAAGGGGGUCAUCCCGACUUACCAACCCGAUGCAAACUGCGAAUACCGGAGAAUGUUAUCACGGGAGACACACGGCGGGUGCUAACGUCCGUCGUGAAGAGGGAAACAACCCAGACCGCCAGCUAAGGUCCCAAAGUCAUGGUUAAGUGGGAAACGAUGUGGGAAGGCCCAGACAGCCAGGAUGUUGGCUUAGAAGCAGCCAUCAUUUAAAGAAAGCGUAAUAGCUCACUGGUCGAGUCGGCCUGCGCGGAAGAUGUAACGGGGCUAAACCAUGCACCGAAGCUGCGGCAGCGACGCUUAUGCGUUGUUGGGUAGGGGAGCGUUCUGUAAGCCUGCGAAGGUGUGCUGUGAGGCAUGCUGGAGGUAUCAGAAGUGCGAAUGCUGACAUAAGUAACGAUAAAGCGGGUGAAAAGCCCGCUCGCCGGAAGACCAAGGGUUCCUGUCCAACGUUAAUCGGGGCAGGGUGAGUCGACCCCUAAGGCGAGGCCGAAAGGCGUAGUCGAUGGGAAACAGGUUAAUAUUCCUGUACUUGGUGUUACUGCGAAGGGGGGACGGAGAAGGCUAUGUUGGCCGGGCGACGGUUGUCCCGGUUUAAGCGUGUAGGCUGGUUUUCCAGGCAAAUCCGGAAAAUCAAGGCUGAGGCGUGAUGACGAGGCACUACGGUGCUGAAGCAACAAAUGCCCUGCUUCCAGGAAAAGCCUCUAAGCAUCAGGUAACAUCAAAUCGUACCCCAAACCGACACAGGUGGUCAGGUAGAGAAUACCAAGGCGCUUGAGAGAACUCGGGUGAAGGAACUAGGCAAAAUGGUGCCGUAACUUCGGGAGAAGGCACGCUGAUAUGUAGGUGAAGUCCCUUGCGGAUGGAGCUGAAAUCAGUCGAAGAUACCAGCUGGCUGCAACUGUUUAUUAAAAACACAGCACUGUGCAAACACGAAAGUGGACGUAUACGGUGUGACGCCUGCCCGGUGCCGGAAGGUUAAUUGAUGGGGUCAGCGCAAGCGAAGCUCUUGAUCGAAGCCCCGGUAAACGGCGGCCGUAACUAUAACGGUCCUAAGGUAGCGAAAUUCCUUGUCGGGUAAGUUCCGACCUGCACGAAUGGCGUAAUGAUGGCCAGGCUGUCUCCACCCGAGACUCAGUGAAAUUGAACUCGCUGUGAAGAUGCAGUGUACCCGCGGCAAGACGGAAAGACCCCGUGAACCUUUACUAUAGCUUGACACUGAACAUUGAGCCUUGAUGUGUAGGAUAGGUGGGAGGCUUUGAAGUGUGGACGCCAGUCUGCAUGGAGCCGGCCUUGAAAUACCACCCUUUAAUGUUUGAUGUUCUAACGUGGACCCGUGAUCCGGGUUGCGGACAGUGUCUGGUGGGUAGUUUGACUGGGGCGGUCUCCUCCUAAAGAGUAACGGAGGAGCACGAAGGUUGGCUAAUCCUGGUCGGACAUCAGGAGGUUAGUGCAAUGGCAUAAGCCAGCUUGACUGCGAGCGUGACGGCGCGAGCAGGUGCGAAAGCAGGUCAUAGUGAUCCGGUGGUUCUGAAUGGAAGGGCCAUCGCUCAACGGAUAAAAGGUACUCCGGGGAUAACAGGCUGAUACCGCCCAAGAGUUCAUAUCGACGGCGGUGUUUGGCACCUCGAUGUCGGCUCAUCACAUCCUGGGGCUGAAGUAGGUCCCAAGGGUAUGGCUGUUCGCCAUUUAAAGUGGUACGCGAGCUGGGUUUAGAACGUCGUGAGACAGUUC